rnacentral:rRNA from 1 species
GACGAACGCUGGCGGCGUGCUUAACACAUGCAAGUCGAACGGAAAGGCCCUGCUUUUGUGGGGUGCUCGAGUGGCGAACGGGUGAGUAACACGUGAGUAACCUGCCCUUGACUUUGGGAUAACUUCAGGAAACUGGGGCUAAUACCGGAUAGGAGCUCCUGCUGCAUGGUGGGGGUUGGAAAGUUUCGGCGGUUGGGGAUGGACUCGCGGCUUAUCAGCUUGUUGGUGGGGUAGUGGCUUACCAAGGCUUUGACGGGUAGCCGGCCUGGGAGGGUGACCGGCCACAAUGGGACUGAGAUACGGCCCGGACUCCUACGGGAGGCAGCAGUGGGGAAUAUUGCACAAUGGGCGGAAGCCUGAUGCAGAAACGCCGCGUGCGGGAUGACGGCCUUCGGGUUGUAAACCGCUUUCGCCUGUGACGAAGCGUGAGUGACGGUAAUGGGUAAAGAAGCACCGGCUAACUACGUG